UACGUAGGUGGCAAGCGUUAUCCGGAUUUAUUGGGCGUAAAGGGAACGCAGGCGGUCUUUUAAGUCUGAUGUGAAAGCCUUCGGCUUAACCGGAGUAGUGCAUUGGAAACUGGGAGACUUGAGUGCAGAAGAGGAGAGUGGAACUCCAUGUGUAGCGGUAAAAUGCGUAGAUAUAUGGAAGAACACCAGUGGCGAAAGCGGCUCUCUGGUCUGUAACUGACGCUGAGGUUCGAAAGCGUGGGUAGCAAACAGG
rnacentral:rRNA from 1 species